AUGCACAUGUGCCUCCUAUUAGCAUCAGCUGCAGCUACACACGCCACAGUGGAGGAGCAGACCCCGAAGCAGAUGCUGAGGCCUGACGCGGGUCCAGGCCCCGCCAUACCCAGGUACACCCGAGGUGCCGUGCCAGGGCUCGGCUCCUCCCGCAGCCCUCACGGGCACUGCUCACUUCAUUUUGAACAGCAAUCCCUGCCAAAAUGGAUCAGAGCUUUCCUGGUGCCAGUGAGAAAGCCUGGACGAGUCCUUUCACACUGUGGAAAAGUCUCCUGGCUCCGGUGCCUCUCCAGCCCUCCGCGAUGCCCCUUCCACAAGAAGGACAUCCAGGUGCUGAGGGCAGGAGGACACUCCUUGUGCAGAUAUCAGGCUACAAGUGCAGAGAAGAGGACAACAGCCAGCAGGGGAAGGCAGCACAGCACAGAGGGUCUGCCUGUCCCCGGCGGUGUUACAGCCAUGCAGGGAGACCAGCCAGACAGGAGAGGAACCUAAAUUACACCUCGUAUGAAGUGGUUGUCUUUGUUCUUCAUUCUGGUAAACCAGAAUAUACAGCCAGGAAAAUGAAGAUCACUGAUGCGUCGAUGCUUGACUUGCUCUUAGGCUGGGAGACGUUACACCACGCAGAAUACCUUCCUGGUUAAAGAACUCAGAUCCGAAUCGCUAAGCAGACUGGCUGGUUUCAUGACCAAGAAUAAGAAAGAGAGAUGCAAAAAGCCAGCCAUUAAAGCCCAAACGUAAGCAUGGUUUCCUUUUAUUUUCCUGAAUACUUUGUGGGUACAGUUAGUGCUCAAGGACUAAUCCCAGGGCCUGCUCCUUGCCAGGCAGUGCCGCCCUGCCAGCAGACUUCCCCUGCAGAGCAGCCGCGGGGCCCCGUGCUCGCUGCUUGCCAGCGUGCUCCUGCCGUGGCUUCCAGUAGCCACAUUCCAGCCCCAGCCCUCCUCCCCACAGCCAGCCACCUCCAGCAGCUCCCCUGCCCUCCUGCCUUUCAAAGGUACCAGCCCUCGGGGCUGAGCUGGUGGGGCGAAGGGGACUAAGGGGAGGGAAAUAAAUAAAAGUCCUGUGUGAAAUGAGCA
rnacentral:lncRNA from 1 species